GACGAACGCUGGCGGCGUGCUUAACACAUGCAAGUCGAACGAUGAACCCGGAGCUUGCUCCGGUGGAUUAGUGGCGAACGGGUGAGUAACACGUGAGUAACCUGCCCUUGACUCUGGGAUAACUGCGGGAAACUGUAGCUAAUACCGGAUACGACCCUCGGCGGCAUCGCCAGGGGGUGGAAAGAAUUUCGGUCAAGGAUGGACUCGCGGCCUAUCAGCUAGUUGGUGAGGUAACGGCGCACCAAGGCGACGACGGGUAGCCGGCCUGAGAGGGUGAGCGGCCACACUGGGACUGAGACACGGCCCAGACUCCUACGGGAGGCAGCAGUGGGGAAUAGUGCACAAUGGGCGCAAGCCUGAUGCAGCAACGCCGCGUGAGGGAUGACGGCCUUCGGGUUGUAAACCUCUUUUAGUAGGGAAGAAGCGAAAGUGACGGUACCUGCAGAAAAAGCACCGGCUAACUACGUGCCAGCAGCCGCGGUAA
rnacentral:rRNA from 1 species